rnacentral:rRNA from 1 species
GACGAACGCUGGCGGCGUGCUUAACACAUGCAAGUCGAACGGAAAGGCCCUGCUUUUGUGGGGUGCUCGAGUGGCGAACGGGUGAGUAACACGUGAGUAACCUGCCCUUGACUUUGGGAUAACUUCAGGAAACGGGGGCUAAUACCGGAUAGGAGCUCCUGCUGCAUGGUGGGGGUUGGAAAGUUUCGGCGGUUGGGGAUGGACUCGCGGCUUAUCAGCUUGUUGGUGGGGUAGUGGCUUACCAAGGCUUUGACGGGUAGCCGGCCUGAGAGGGUGACCGGCCACAUUGGGACUGAGAUACGGCCCAGACUCCUACGGGAGGCAGCGGUGGGGAAUAUUGCACAAUGGGCGGAAGCCUGAUGCAGCAACGCCGCGUGCGGGAUGACGGCCUUCGGGUUGUAAACCGCUUUCGCCUGUGACGAAGCGUGAGUGACGGUAAUGGGUAAAGAAGCACCGGCUAACUACGUG